rnacentral:snoRNA from 1 species
AUCCCAUGGUGUGGGCACUUGCUCAGCAUAUUCUUGAACCUGUUCCAAGCUUCAUCAAAAUUCUUCGAGUUGCCUUGGUGGAAGACAGAAAUGUCGUGCUUGAGCUU